rnacentral:lncRNA from 1 species
UAAUCACAGAAAAUAAAGCACGCGAAGAAGUUAACUCGGUGCCAUUGGGCAGAGGGUGAGAGCCCAGCAAACCAGAGAGAUCAGCUUGCCCACAUCAGUGGCGAGGAGUGCGGAGAGUGGGUGAGGCUGGGGCAGGAAGCAGGCCAGCCUGCCAGAGCCCAGGAACAGGACCUGCUGAAGCUCACACCCGUGGACCACCCAGACUGCCUGCCGCUACAGGAUGCCCUCCGCAUCUCCCAGGACUUCUUUCUGGCAUCAGUGUGGACAUUGACCCCGCUGGACUGCAGUCACAGUGGACUCCCAAGGGGCAGUGUACGCAGGUCACACGGUGUGUCAUAGAGACAGGAAAGACUGGGACAGAUGGUUGCAGCCCCGUGGAAGCCCCCCUGACUCUGAGGGUGGCUGAGGAGAAACUCUGGAAAUCCUCAUGGAGUAGAAACCAUCCAGAGCCCAGGUGAGAGGUGGCUGCAGGUCCCCCCAGGACACUUCUGCAGCCCCGACCGAAGGCAGCCCGGGGUCUCCCAUCCCCUGGGUAUAUUUGUUAAAAAUGUGUCCAUCAUAUAUGAAUUUGGGUUUGGUAUUUGGUUCCCUCGUUGUGUCUUGUUCUGUAUUUUUGUGUUAAUGUCAAUACCGUAUUGUUUGGACCACUAUAGCUCUUCUAUGU